UCCUACGGGAGGCAGCAGUGGGGAAUAUUGGACAAUGGGGGCAACCCUGAUCCAGCAACGCCGCGUGAGUGAUGAAGGUCUUCGGAUCGUAAAGCUCUGUCAGGGGGAACGAUGCGUCCCAUGAUUAAUACUCAUGGGAUCCGACGGUACCCCCAAAGGAAGCACCGGCUAACUCUGUGCCAGCAGCCGCGGUAAUAC
rnacentral:rRNA from 1 species